rnacentral:rRNA from 1 species
UGCGAAUGGCUCAUUAAAUCAGUUAUCGUUUAUUUGAUAGUACCUUACUACUUGGAUAACCGUGGUAAUUCUAGAGCUAAUACAUGCUAAAAACCUCGACUUCGGAAGGGGUGUAUUUAUUAGAUAAAAAACCAAUGCCCUUCGGGGCUCACUGGUGAUUCAUAAUAACUUAACGAAUCGCAUGGCCUUGUGCCGGCGAUGGUUCAUUCAAAUUUCUGCCCUAUCACCUUUCGAUUGUUGGAUAGUGGCCAACAAUGGGUUCAACGGGUAACGGGGAAUUAGGGUUCUAUUCCGGAGAGGGAGCCUGAGAAACGGCUACCACAUCCAAGGAAGGCAGCAGGCGCGCAAAUUACCCAAUCCCGACACGGGGAGGUAGUGACAAUAAAUACUGAUACAGGGCUCUUUUGGGUCUUGUAAUUGGAAUGAGUACAAUUUAAAUCCCUUAACGAGGAACAAUUGGAGGGCAAGUCUGGUGGACAUUGGCGUCCUGAGGUGUUAAAACCUCUUAUUGCUGACGCCAGAAAGAGAAGAACUUCGGUUCUACUAGUCGACUAUACUACAAGCUUUGGGUGUAUAGCGGCAAGACAACCUGGAUCGGGGGAGGCUAAGGGCGCAAGCCUAUGCUAACCCCGAGCCGAGCUACUGGAGGGCAACCCCCAGAUAGCCGGUGUAGAGCGCGGAAAGGUGUCGGUCAUCCUAUCCGAUAGGUGGCUUGAGGGACGUGCCGUCUCACCCGAAAGGGUGUUUCUAAGGAGGAGCUCCCAAAGGGCAAAUCUUAGAGAAGGGUGUAUACCCUAUAAUUUAACGGCCAGCAGCCGCGGUAAUUCCAGCUCCAAUAGCGUAUAUUAAAGUUGUUGCAGUUAAAAAGCUCGUAGUUGAACCUUGGGCCUGGCUGGCCGGUCCGCCUCACCGCGUGCACUGGUCCGGCCGGGUCUUUCCUUCUGGGGAGCCGCAUGCCCUUCACUGGGUGUGUCGGGGAACCAGGACUUUUACUUUGAAAAAAUUAGAGUGUUCAAAGCAGGCCUAUGCUCGAAUACAUUAGCAUGGAAUAAUAGAAUAGGACGUGUGGUUCUAUUUUGUUGGUUUCUAGGACCGCCGUAAUGAUUAAUAGGGAUAGUCGGGGGCGUCAGUAUUGCGUUGUCAGAGGUGAAAUUCUUGGAUUUACGCAAGACUAACUACUGCGAAAGCAUUCGCCAAGGAUGUUUUCAUUAAUCAGUGAACGAAAGUUAGGGGAUCGAAGACGAUCAGAUACCGUCGUAGUCUUAACCAUAAACUAUGCCGACUAGGGAUCGGGCGAUGUUAUCUUUUUGACUCGCUCGGCACCUCACGAGAAAUCAAAGUCUUUGGGUUCUGGGGGGAGUAUGGUCGCAAGGCUGAAACUUAAAGAAAUUGACGGAAAGGCACCACCAGGCGUUAGCAACUCUGCGCCGAACAGCAGCCCGGAAGGUCGGUGGUGCCUAUAACAUGCUAGUCUUGGGGGCACCCCAAGGCGACACCCCUAAAUUGCGGGAACUCCCUAAAGCUCUCGCUACCGCCCCGGCGCCGAAAGGCUGCAGGCACCGGGUUAACAACCACGGGUAUGGUCAAAACGCGAGAGAUGUCACAAUGGGUAAUCCGCAGCCAAGUCCCUACCGGCCCGUACGGCCAGGGGAAAGGUUCAGAGACUAAAUAGGGAUGGGCGAUCUGGUAUCGCUUAAGAGAUAGUCCGGCGGUAGGUCAACACCUACGACGAAUAAACGGGAGCCUGCGGCUUAAUUUGACUCAACACGGGGAAACUCACCAGGUCCAGACAUAAUAAGGAUUGACAGAUUGAGAGCUCUUUCUUGAUUUUAUGGGUGGUGGUGCAUGGCCGUUCUUAGUUGGUGGAGUGAUUUGUCUGCUUAAUUGCGAUAACGAACGAGACCUUAACCUGCUAAAUAGCCAGGCUAGCUUAGGCUGGUCGCCGGCUUCUUAGAGGGACUAUCGGCUCAAGCCGAUGGAAGUUUGAGGCAAUAACAGGUUAACCUUCACAGGCCUGUAAAAGUGGUCGUCCGCUAGUCCAACGUUUUAAUCUCUGUGAAGAAGUCUUCUUCUGCCGGGCAGAGAGGUGUCCUCGCGACGCCAUACGUGGGCAACACUACCUGGAACAGGAAACGCCGGAGUAAGUCUGCCCAGCAGCAUUGGCCGAUCCUGUGGCGAGUCAAGGUAACGCUUGACCGUCGCAACGCGCGCUAAGGAGUGGGUAUCGAACCCCUAGAGGGUCGAUAUUUGAGGUACGUGCUAUCCGCUGGGUAACCAGUCUUAUGCGUCAAGGCCCGGCAGGCCGAAACGUGUAGGGGCACCACCCUUUUGGGGUGGUGCUGGCGUCGAAUUGCUGUGAUGCCCUUAGAUGUUCUGGGCCGCACGCGCGCUACACUGACAGAGCCAACGAGUUCAUCACCUUGCCCGAAAGGGUUGGGUAAUCUUGUUAAACUCUGUCGUGCUGGGGAUAGAGCAUUGCAAUUAUUGCUCUUCAACGAGGAAUGCCUAGUAAGCGCAAGUCAUCGAGCUUGCGUU